rnacentral:rRNA from 1 species
UACGUAGGGGGCAAGCGUUGUCCGGAUUUAUUGGGCGGAAAGAGCGUGUAGGCGGCUUGGUAGGUCCGCUGUGAAAACUCGAGGCUCAACCUCGAGAUGUCGGCGGAAACCACUUGGCUAGAGUCCGGAAGAGGAGAGUGGAAUUCCCGGUGUAGCGGUGAAAUGCGCAGAUAUCGGGAAGAACACCUAUGGCGAAGGCAGCUCUCUGGGACGGUACUGACGCUGAGACGCGAAAGCGUGGGGAGCGAACAGG